CGAGGGGCAGGGGACGCGCGCACCGGGAGAGGGGGGCAAGAGUCCUGGGGCCCCCGCAGGGAGUGGGGUGACUUCGGGAGGAAGGAUCGCAGUGCCCCUCGGGGCGUCUCUAGGCGCACAGGUAUCCUCACCUGACCGCCAGUCCCCGGCGAGAGGAGGGGGAGCCGGGAGCAGACGCGUGGGAGUUUCUGUAGGAGUUCCUAGUUCAAAUUCCACACUGCACACAGAGCUGGAGCUUAUGAAGGGAUGGCCAAGUCCUGGAUGUAACUUCUGAAACCACCUAAAGCAUUCUUGGGAACAUGUUGGGCUGUGCGGUGUGGGGAGCAAGUAAAGUCCUGAGUGUGCAGAAGUGCAUGGGACAAUCUUGAUAAUGCAUUAGGGCCACUUCUGUCUGAUUGAAGUGGCCUUGAAGAAAGGGACAGGACCACGAUGCAAGUUGGUGACUCCCCCGUCCUGGUCCAUCCCUCCCUCCACACACACCCCAUCCAAACCCUGACUUACUUGGUCCAAUCUUAAGAAGGAAAGUACUGAGAGGGAAGGAAGAGACUUCAUGUUUUUUCCUGAUUCACUAAUGAUGUUGUCAAAGGCUCUGGGUGAGAUACUUAAUUUCUCUGUCUCCUGGUUUGCUGUCUGUGAAAGGGUGACCCCAAUGCCAGGUUCCUGUGGGGACUGUGACAGACCGCAUUACAAGAGAGGCUCUCUCGGAUACUUGAGUCCCCACCCUUAGAGUUCAGUUUCUUCAUCUGUAAAACAAAGCACUGGACUAGAAGUUCUCAGGUUCCGCCCAGCUCUCUCCUUCUGUAUUCUCUCAGGGGGAGGAGGUAAAAAGGGAAUGGGGGAAGAGAACUUUGAACUAAACCGGAUGACAGGACUGUCUCUUCCAGAAAAGGCACAGUGCUGCGCAAACAGCAUCUGUGAGGUAUGCCUCAGUUCUCCUUCCAAACUUGUUUUUCCCAGGGGUUUCCUGAGGCCUCUCAAGAAGGCUCUCAAAACUGACCUGAAAUAUUCACAACUUGAACCAUCAGGAAGGAUUACUUUGAUUCUGUCUGAAAUCUUCCCUGCAUUUGGUAAGACAGAACAAAGAAAGAAAAAUAAAUUACUGAAGGAAAUGAAUAGGAUAGUAUUAUCUAUAAAAGACAAUUUGGAAACUAGAUGAAGAUACAAGGGGUCUGUUUUACUAUUGUCACUACCUAUAUGGAUAUUUGAAAAGCCUCCUAAUAAAAUGGUUUCUUGAAAGAAUAUCUGAAAAUCGGUAGUUGUAAACCAGUAAUUUUCAAAUGCUCUUUUUCACCAUGAUCCACACACACACACACACACACACACACACACACACACACACACAAAAACCCACAUUUAUGUUGCAACCCAGUACAUAAACAUAUAGACUAAAACCAAGUUCCACAAAACAUUAUUCACACUUACCAUGCACCACACCAUACACAACAUACUCUGAUGUUUUCUAUUUUCUGCCCUGCUUCUUUAAAAAAAUGUUGGUUGGAACCUACUCAACUCAUUUCAAGAAUCAUUUAAUGGCUCGUGACCUACAGUUUGAAAAACACAGUUCCAAACAGUAUCAACUCAUUCUGGUGGGCAAUUGAAUACUUGCCUGCUGGCCUGGGCCAGCAGGAGAGUAAUGACUAUUUGGAGAGGGAUUGAAACAGAAUGAGCAGUUAUGGAUAUUUGCCCAGCCUUCUUGGAAAAGCCUGACCCUGGUCUGGUGAUGGGGGCAUCAUCAGGGCUUAGCAAAAUGAGAGCGUUUCAUAAGCUACCAUUUCUAUGUACAUGGCCCACUUGCCCAACUUUUCUUACACGGGCUUAUUUGCUUCUAGAAUCUGUCCUGCCAACCCGCAGCCAUGGCCUGCUGCUUCUUCCCCACUCGCCUCCCAUUUCUGCCUUCUCAGAGGCACAAACCAGUCCUCAGGCAUUUCUCCAAUUUGCUGGGGAUUAUGAAUUUAUAUCCUGUCCUCUCUUCCCUCUUCUCUUCCCCCCAAAUGGUGACUGUCCCCCCAAGCCGAGGGUCAUUAACAAAAGCAACAUCUUCAAAGAGAAGGGAUGAGGACAUGACUGAGAUUCGCUCAGUACUUAAAUCCCAUUGAAGUACCCAGGUCAGGCCUGGCAAGCAGGGGACAGACAGCCUGCAUCUGGAAAAGAGAAGGUUUAGGGCACAUUUGACUUCAAUAUUUAAAAACCAAGUGCCCAGCUGUUCAGUUCUUCAACAAAUAGCACUAAAAUACCUCCUGUAGAGGAAGGAAAGAAUUUUAGGACAGAAUCAUUAAUUCAAAGGACAUCAAGAAAAUAGAGAGUAGACAUCAUCCUGAUCUACUAUUUAAAAAAAUAACUUUAGGGAUGCAAUUUUACAAUGCUUUAUAAACAGGUCCACCAAUCCAGGAGUGUUAUAUGUGUGAAAUGUUUACUAACUGGAAACAAAUGUUUACAUCGGAUAAACUACCUCCUAAAAAGUCCAUUUCCUCUGUUCAUGCAAAUGUUGCUAUUUGUGCGGAGUGGAAGGGCAUUUCCACUUCUCCUACCACAAAAGCUGUAUUUCUUUCAAUAUUAAGGUUAAUGAGGGCUGGGGCCCUGUAAUCUACAUGAGUAGGUUAAUUCUCAUGUGUCCUAGAUAGUUGAGAGAGAAAGAGAUUUAGAACUUUGGCUGAAGGGAGAUGCACAUACUGCCUGCAGUGAAUGCAUGCAAAGAAGCAAAGAACACUCUGUAGAAGGAUCUCUAUACCUCAGCUCCUCCAUCUACAAGGCAGAGAUGCUGAAUGUGACCCCAUCCUCCCCUGUGCAUGAAUGAGAAGUUCCAGUUCAAAGGGAAGAGAGCCCAGAAGCCCAACAACUGAAGAGAGCCAGUCUUGAACUCUUUAUCUGCCUGGUCAGUGUUGCUUGCAUCGAUUGCACAUCAACUGAACAACUUCUACCAUCAGGCUCACUGGUGGCCAAAAGUAUACUUCUACAAUCUCUCCAAUGCUUUUAUCCUGUAGCUUCCAAAUGAGAGUUUGGUUGCCAUGGCAACAGCCAAGUUCCGCCAGAAGGAGAAAUUCCUUGUAUAAUGAGCCCAGACCUUGUGAAAAUAAAGGAAAUCUCAUCUAAAAUGGAGCGGGGAAGCCCUGAAGGGGGAGCUCUCGUGCACGUACCCCUCUUUGAAGCCAGUGUAACCAGCGGGAAGGAGGAUCAGAAUUAUUCUGGCAAGGGAGGACAUUUUUCACAUAGGAAUUUUGUCUCCUGCAUUUAAGAAAAGGAAAGAAGAUCCCUCCCUGCCCCAGCAACAUUGCAGUAACCCCCACUUGUAGCCAAUAAGAAACCACAACCUUGAAUUCUUGUUCUUCUCCCAUAAACUUUUGUUCUAAGCCACGCUCCUACAAUAUCCUCCUAAAACCCAAUAAAAGCUGACCUUCCCUUUGUCCCUUUGGACUUGCUAAUGGAUCACCAUGGUCUGCUUGUCCCAAAUUGUAAUUCUUCUGUUAUUUCUGAAUAAAGUCGGGUUUUCUUUGCUUAAA